CCUACGGGUGGCAGCAGUGAGGAAUAUUGGUCAAUGGACGUGAGUCUGAACCAGCCAAGUAGCGUGAGGGAUGAAUGCCCUAUGGGUUGUAAACUUCUUUUAUGUGGGAAUAAAGUUGUCCACGUGUGGAAUUUUGCAUGUACCAUAUGAAUAAGGACCGGCUAAUUCCGUGCCAGCAGCCGCGGUAAUACGGAAGGUCCGGGCGUUAUCCGGAUUUAUUGGGUUUAAAGGGAGCGUAGGCGGUUGGUUAAGUGAGCUGUGAAAGUUUGUGGCUCAACCGUGAAAUUGCAUCGGAAACUGGCAACCUUGAGUGCGCGGAAGGCAGGCGGAAUUCGUGGUGUAGCGGUGAAAUGCUUAGAUAUCACGAAGAACCCCGAUUGCGAAGGCAG
rnacentral:rRNA from 1 species